GAUGAACGCUGGCGGCGUGCCUAAUACAUGCAAGUCGAACGAAACUUCUUUAUCACCGAGUGCUUGCACUCACCGAUAAAGAGUUGAGUGGCGAACGGGUGAGUAACACGUGGGCAACCUGCCCAAAAGAGGGGGAUAACACUUGGAAACAGGUGCUAAUACCGCAUAACCAUAGUUACCGCAUGGUAACUAUGUAAAAGGUGGCUAUACUACCGCCUUUGGAUGGGCCCGCGGCGCAUUAGCUAGUUGGUAGGGUAAAGGCUUACCAAGGCAAUGAUGCGUAGCCGAAUUGAGAGGUUGAUCGGCCACAUUGGGACUGAGACACGGCCCAAACUCCUACGGGAGGCAGCAGUAGGGAAUCUUCCACAAUGGGCGAAAGCCUGAUGGAGCAACGCCGCGUGGGUGAAGAAGGUCUUCGGAUCGUAAAACCCUGUUGUUAGAGAAGAAAGUGCGUGAGAGUAACUGUUCACGUUUCGACGGUAUCUAACCAGAAAGCCGCGGCUAACUACGUG
rnacentral:rRNA from 1 species